ACAUAGAAUACUCAAAUAUAUAUAUAUAAAUAAAAUAUUAUUCAAAAUUUUAGGAGUACAGAUGUUUAUUUUGUUGUGAUUCAGAUGUAUAACUAAUAUGAUACAUAUGUGACUGAACGAAUUUCAAAACGGGAAGUUUAAGAAAGCUUUAAGAUGAACGUUGGUCCAGAAUCGGUUAGGAUGGAGUGUCCCCAAUGCAAGGUGUCAAUUUCGACUAAAACUACUCCAAAGGCAUCAAAUAGAACGCAUCUGCUUGCUCUUCUUAUGUGUGUAUUUUGGUGUUGUUGCUGUGCUCCAUUUCUGUAUUGCACCGAAUGCGCCCGAGACGUCAAUCACACUUGCCCCUCCUGCAACCACUAUAUUGGCACAUACCAACGCUGAUGCUGCUAUGAGAUAAUGUUUUCGAGUAAAGUGAGUUCGUGGAGUGAGUGGAGAAUUCGAGCUGCUCUAAUUAAUUAGUUUUUCAUAAUUUAUGUUUGUCACUUAAAUAAA